rnacentral:lncRNA from 1 species
AUCUUCCCACUACAUAAUCAACGUGAGAGCUCCAAGACAAAUUAGAAUCCAGUAGAAGACAGUUUGCUUUUUGUAC